AGGGGUUCUGAGAGGAAGGUCCCCCACAUUGGAACUGAGACACGGUCCAAACUCCUACGGGAGGCAGCAGUGAGGAAUAUUGGUCAAUGGGCGAGAGCCUGAACCAGCCAAGUAGCGUGCAGGAUGACGGCCUUAUGGGUUGUAAACUGCUUUUAUAGGGGAAUAAAGUGAGCCACGUGUGGUUUUUUGCAUGUACCUUAUGAAUAAGGACCGGCUAAUUCCGUGCCAGCAGCCGCGGUAAUACGGAAGGUCCGGGCGUUAUCCGGAUUUAUUGGGUUUAAAGGGAGCGUAGGCCGGAGAUUAAGCGUGUUGUGAAAUGUAGAUGCUCAACAUCUGCACUGCAGCGCGAACUGGUUUCCUUGAGUACGCAUAAAGUGGGCGGAAUUCGUGGUGUAGCGGUGAAAUGCUUAGAUAUCACGAAGAACUCCGAUUGCGAAGGCAGCUCACUGGGGCGCAACUGACGCUGAAGCUCGAAAGCGCGGGUAUCGAACAGGAUUAGAUACCCUGGUAGUCCGCGCGGUAAACGAUGGAUGCCCGCUGUUGGGCCAACUGGUUCAGCGGCCAAGCGAAAGCAUUAAGCAUCCCACCUGGGG
rnacentral:rRNA from 1 species